rfam:Beauveria bassiana D1-5 contig00042, whole genome shotgun sequence.
CCCAGAGGUAUUGAUUGGUGAGAAUUCCUGGUACUCUGCUGAGUACAAUUCUUUUGCACCAACCUGCGCAGAUGCGCAGGUUUUUUUU